rnacentral:lncRNA from 13 species
GUAGUAGUUCUGUGUGUUGCCAGAUUGGUAGUAGUUCUGUGUGUUGUCAGAUUGGUAGUAGUUCUGUGUGUUGUCAGAUUGGUAGUAGUUAUGUGUGUUGCCAGAUUGGUAGUAGUUAUGUGUGUUGCCAGAUUGGAAGUAGUUAUGUGUUUUGCCAGAUUGGAAGUAGUUCCAUUGGUUGUCAUAUUGGUAGUAGUUCUGUGUGUUGCCAGAUUGGUAGUAGUUCUGUGUGUUGCCAGAUUGGUAGUAGUUCUGUGUGUUGCCAGAUUGGAAGUAGUUCCGUUGGUUGUCAGAUUGGUAGUAGUUCUGUGUGUUGCCAGAUUGGUAGUAGUUCUGNNNNNNNNNNUAACAAGGCCUCCAGCUAGCCCCUGUGUCUGUGUAGCAGGGUAACAAGGCCUCUAGCUAACCCUGUGUCUGUGUAGCAGGGUAACAAGUCCUACAGCUAGCCCCUGUGUCUGUGUAGCAGGGUAACAAGGCCUCUAGAUAGCCCCUGUGUCUGUGUAGCAGGGUAACAAGUCCUCCAGCUAGCCCCUGUGUCUGUGUAGCAGGGUAACAAGACCUCUAGCUAGCCCUUGUCUGUGUAGCAGGGUAACAAGUCCUACAGCUCCAGCUAUCUCAAACAUUAUAAAUGGGCUGUGGGGGUUUUCCAACAGUAGUAGGGAACAGUAUAGUUCUGUGCCUGAGAAGCGUUGCCAGAUUGAGAGGCCAGUCCAGCCGUAGCACGGUAUCGUGCAGGAGUAAUGUAUUGUGUGUGUGUGUGUGUGUUAGAGUGUGUUGCCAGAUUGGAAGUAGUUCCAUUGGUUGUCAUAUUGGUAGUAGUUCUGUGUGUUGCCAAAUUAGUAGUAGUUCUGUGUGUUGCCAGAUUGGUAGUAGUUCUGUGUGUUGUCAGAUUGGUAGUAGUUCUGUGUGUUGUCAGAUUGGUAGUAGUUAUGUGUGUUGCCAGAUUGGUAGUAGUUAUGUGUGUUGCCAGAUUGGAAGUAGUUAUGUGUUUUGCCAGAUUGGAAGUAGUUCCAUUGGUUGUCAUAUUGGUAGUAGUUCUGUGUGUUGCCAGAUUGGUAGUAGUUCUGUGUGUUGCCAGAUUGGUAGUAGUUCUGUGUGUUGCCAGAUUGGAAGUAGUUCCGUUGGUUGUCAGAUUGGUAGUAGUUCUGUGUGUUGCCAGAUUGGUAGUAGUUCU